UGAGUGUUAUGAUGGUGGAACAUUCUUUAUUUCGUUCUUAGUCUAGCUCUGGUCUACCGCUAGGAAGUAUUCCUAGCGG
rfam:Streptococcus pseudoporcinus LQ 940-04 Contig1216510750, whole genome shotgun sequence.